rnacentral:rRNA from 1 species
UACGAAGGGGGCUAGCGUUGCUCGGAAUGACUGGGCGUAAAGGGCGCGUAGGCGGAUGGCUUUGUCGGGCGUGAAAUUCCAGGGCUUAACCUUGGGGCUGCGUUCGAGACGGGUUGUCUUGAGUGGGGAAGAGGGUCGUGGAAUUCCCAGUGUAGAGGUAAAAUUCGUAGAUAUUGGGAAGAACACCGGUGGCGAAGGCGGCGACCUGGUCCUUUACUGACGCG